UACAGAGGGUGCGAGCGUUAAUCGGAAUUACUGGGCGUAAAGCGUGCGUAGACGGUUAUUUAAGUCGGGUGUGAAAUCCCCGGGCUCAACCUGGGAAUGGCAUUUGGGACUGCAAGGCUAGAGUGUGGCAGAGGAGACUGGAAUUCCUGGUGUAGCAGUGAAAUGCGUAGAUAUCAGGAGGAAUACCGAUGGCGAAGGCAGGUCUCUGGGUUAACACUGACGCUCAUGCACGAAAGCGUGGGGAGCAAACAGG
rnacentral:rRNA from 1 species